GAAACGACUGCUAAGACUGGAUAGGAAAAGUGAAGGCAUCUUUACUUUUUUAAAAGACCUUCUUUGAAGGUAUGCUUAAGGAGGGGCUUGCGACACAUUAGUUAGUUGGCAGGGUAAAGGCCUACCAAGACUAUGAUGUGUAGCUGGACUGAGAGGUUGAACAGCCACAUUGGGACUGAGACACGGCCCAAACUCCUACGGGAGGCAGCAGUAGGGAAUUUUCGGCAAUGGAGGAAACUCUGACCGAGCAACGCCGCGUGAACGAUGAAGUACCUCGGUAUGUAAAGUUCUUUUAUUAAGGAAGAAAAAAGAGUGGAAAAACUCCCUUGACGGUACUUAAUGAAUAAGCCCCGGCUAAUUAUGUGCCAGCAGCCGCGGUAAUACAUAAGGGGCGAGCGUUAUCCGGAAUUAUUGGGCGUAAAGGGUGCGUAGGCGGUUUAAUAAGUCUAUAGUUUAAUUUCAGCGCUUAACGCUGUUGUGCUAUAGAAACUGUUUUACUAGAGUGAGAUAGAGGCAAGCGGAAUUCCAUGUGUAGCGGUAAAAUGCGUAAAUAUAUGGAGGAACACCAGAGGCGUAGGCGGCUUGCUGGGUCUUUACUGACGCUGAGGCACGAAAGCGUGGGGAGCAAACAGGAUUAGAUACCCUGGUAGUCCACGCCGUAAACGAUGAGUACUAAGUGUCGGGUAAAACCGGUACUGAAGUUAACACAUUAAGUACUCCGCCUGAGUAGUACGUACGCAAGUAUGAAACUUAAAGGAAUUGACGGGACUCCGCACAAGCGGUGGAUCAUGUUGUUUAAUUCGAAGAUACACGAAAAACCUUACCAGGUCUUGACAUUUUCUUGCGAAGUUAUAGAAAUAUAAUGGAGGUUAUCAGGAAAACAGGUGGUGCAUGGUUGUCGUCAGCUCGUGUCGUGAGAUGUUAGGUUAAGUCCUAAAACGAGCGCAACCCUUGUCGUUAAUUGCCAGCAUGUAAUGAUGGGGACUUUAACGAGACUGCCAAUGAAAAAUUGGAGGAAGGUGGGGAUUACGUCAAAUCAUCAUGCCCCUUAUGAUCUGGGCUACAAACGUGAUACAAUGGUUGAUACAAAGAGUAGCUGAAACGCGGUUCUUAGCCAAUCUCACAAAAUCAAUCUCAGUUCGGAUUGAAGUCUGCAACUCGACUUCAUGAAGUUGGAAUCGCUAGUAAUCAUGAAUCAGCAUGUCACGGUGAAUACGUUCACGGGGUUUGUACACACCGCCCGUCA
rnacentral:rRNA from 1 species